CUCUAGAGGUGGUCCUGUUCACAGAUGGAUGAUGCUACAGAAGAGACAGUGGAAAUUUGGCCUCCUAUGCUGUAGUAAAACAGGAUCCACACACAAAGACAAUAGACCAAGGUCUCAUACCACAACCAGCCUCAGCACAGCUGGCUGAAAUAGUGACCUUAACAAGAGUCCUGGAGUUGUCUGGUGGAAAAAGAGUGAACAUCUACAAAGACUCAGCCUAUGGACAUGGAGCUGUACAUGUGGAUGGACUGCAGUGGGUCAGAAGGAACUUCCUGACUACAGCCAACACUCCAGUAAAGCACUGAGCACAGCUAGAAAAACUGGUAAGAGCUGUACUACUGCCUGCAGCUGUGGCCGUGAUGAAAUGCAAAGGACACCAGCAUAGCUGAAGGAAAUGAUGCUGCAGACUCGGCAGCCAAGAAGGCGGAAGGAUACACACCAAGACAGAUGUCUGUCACCAUUGAACAACUACCUGAACUAACAGAGAAAGACAUCAUUGACAUGCAAGAACAAGCAGGAGUAUACGAGCAAAGUGAAUGGCAUCGGAAAGUAGCAACAAAGAAGAAUAGUAGCUCCAGCCAAACUUUGUCAGCUACUACUCAAACAAGCACAAGGACCAGCUCAUGAGAACAAGAAGAAAACACAGAAGAACACUGAAGGAUGCUGGUGGUAUCCCCACAUGACAGCCAUAGUGGAUAACUAUGUGACAGACUGCUACACUUGCAAUGGACACAACCCUAAGCAGGCAUACAAGUGCCCAAUGGGAAGGUUUCCAGUACCAGAAACACCAUUCCAAGACAUCACGAUCGACUUCACCGAUAUGGGUGUGCAAAACAGAACAAAAGCCUACUGUUACUUGCUGGUGAUGGUGGACAGAUUCACCAAGUGGGUAGAGGCAAUACAAUGCAAAAAAGAGUCAGCAGAUGCAGUAGUAAAAUAGUUGAAAAAUGAGCUAAUAACGAGAUAUGGGGUCCCACGUAGUGUAUGCUCAGAUACGACUCACAUUUCAGUAACAAACAGCUGGGGGGGAUGGAAAAAGCACUGGGAAUAACACAUAGAUAUGGAGCAGUGUAUCAUCCUGCAUUGCAAGGUUUGGUGGAAAGAGCCAACCAGACUCUGAAAAGAAAGAUUGCUAAAAUCUGUUUUGGCACAAAGCUCGGUUGGGUGGAUGCACUGCCUUUGGCACUUAUGUUCAUGAGAACCUCCCUAGGGGCCAAGACACACUUGACACCCCAUGAGUUGCUGACAGGUAGGCCAAGGCCAGGGCCACCCAGGGAGGGAGGUCAUAUGCCCCCUCUGGAUGUCUGGCAGAUUGACUGUGACGAAUACAUGACUGCAUUGACUAACUUGUCCUGAGUUUUGUGUAAACAGGUACAGCUGGCCGAACCCGAAGCAACCAUCACUGAGACUCCAGCAGUACAGGUAGGGGAUUGGGUACGAGUGAAAGUUCAUAAGAGAAAGUGGACUGAUCCCAGGUGGACAGGACCUUAUGAAGUGAUUGGGGUACCUCCCACGCAGUCCAGGUAAAAGAAAAAGCUGGAGUAAUUUGGCACCACCUGACACAUUGUGUAUCAGCCCCACCACCCUAACGCACAUUAGUGGAGGUUAGAACUGAAGUGGCUGAACACGAGUAAGGGCUCUAAAAGAUAAAACUAAGAACUUUACCCAAAGAGUUGAGAAGCCCUAACUGUCCUGGCUGACUCUAGGGGUUGACCGUGGCACCCUUUUUGCCAACCAGGCCUCUGUGACCUAAGAGGAACAAUUGGGACCAACUUCUCUUAUGGCCUGGCAGAAUAGGAUGGCUUUAGAUAUGCUGUUGGCAGAAAAGGGCGGAGUCUGCAAAAUGUUUGGGGACUUCUGCUGUACAUUCAUUCCCAAUAAUACUGCCCCUGAUGGAAGCAUCACCAAGGCUCUAGCUGACCUUACUUCCCUGUCUGAAGAGUUUGCUGAAAAUUCAGGCAUCAACGAUCCGUUUAGUAAUUGGGAAGAUCAUUAUUUUGGUAAAUAUUAGGCCCUAUUCAUAUCACUAAUUGUUUCCAUUGCUUGUUUCGCAGCCAUUUUAGUGUGCUGUGGCUGUUGCUGCAUCCCCUGCUUACGUGCAUUGAUCAACCGUCUCAUUACCACUGCCCUUACCAAAGAGAAAGACUCUCCGCCUUACCAAAUGCCCCUGUUAGGUGAAGCUUUGGAGUCAGAUGUGGAAGAAGAGUUACAGGAGGUACAGAGUUACUCCCUGCCGGUGAUCACAGCCUCCUUGUCCUCUCCGAUCUCUGCAAACUGCCUUUCCUGUUCUGCCUGCCACGCUGCACGAGCCAUCUCCAGAACCCACUCUCACUGUCUCCAGCCCUAAGCCCAGCCGGUUCUCCAUGGACCAUGUCGUCAAACCUCACUACCAGCUCCAGCGGACUACGCCUGACUUGCCCGCUCUGGAAGAGCAUUUAUCGACCAGUGAUUGUUUAUCGUGUUACAAUAAAGACUGUUAAAACUAC